rnacentral:rRNA from 1 species
AUUGAACGCUGGCGGCAGGCUUAACACAUGCAAGUCGAGCGGAAACGGAGGUAGCUUGCUACCAGACGUCGAGCGGCGAACGGGUGAGUAACGCGUAGGAAUCUACCUAGUAGAGGGGGAUAGCCCGGGGAAACUCGGAUUAAUACCGCAUACGCCCUAAGGGGGAAAGCAGGGGAUCUUCGGACCUUGCGCUAUUAGAUGAGCCUGCGUCGGAUUAGCUUGUUGGUGGGGUAAUGGCCUACCAAGGCAACGAUCUCUAGCUGGUCUGAGAGGACGAUCAGCCACACUGGGACUGAGACACGGCCCAGACUCCUACGGGAGGCAGCAGUGAGGAAUAUUGGACAAUGGGCGAGAGCCUGAUCCAGCCAUGCCGCGUGCAGGAAGACGGCCCUAUGGGUUGUAAACUGCUUUUGUACGGGAAGAAACACCCCCUCGUGAGGGGGCUUGACGGUACCGUAAGAAUAAGGAUCGGCUAACUCCGUGCCAGCAGCCGCGGUAAAGUG